AAUGGAGCCUUGCCAAAAAUGAUUAAAGUCCGAGAAAGCAUAACAGUUCCAGAGCUGCAGCCGUGCUUUAGGAGUCCUGAGUUUGACAUGGUGUCAAACAAACGCACUGGAUAGGAGAAGGAAGGGAGGAGAGUAAACAAGACCGGAAAAAAGAGAAGAGAGAUGAGUGAGUAUCACUAAGUAGUUCAGAUAAUUUUUUUUGUGUGUGGUAACUAAUUUCUGAGAGAAAUUG
rnacentral:lncRNA from 1 species